rnacentral:rRNA from 1 species
UACGUAGGUGGCAGGCGUUGUCCGGAUUUACUGGGCGUAAAGAGCGCGCAGGCGGUCGAUUUAGUCGCGUGUGAAAGCCCCCCGGCUCAACUGGGGAGGGUCACGCGAUACUGAUCGACUCGAAGGCAGGAGAGGGUAGUGGAAUUCCCGGUGUAGUGGUGAAAUGCGUAGAUAUCGGGAGGAACACCAGUGGCGAAGGCGACUACCUGGCCUGUUCUUGACGCUGAGGCGCGAAAGCUAGGGGAGCAAACGGGG